CGUGGAAGUUAUGGAGGCGGCCGAGACUACGAUCGCAAUGGUGGCCGAGGUGACAGCUAUGGAAACGAUUACUACGGUGGUGGCAGAGAUUCUGGGUCUUCAAGGUAUCGCAGUCGAUCGCCAGUGGGGCGUGGCAGCUCCAGGGACUAUGGAAGUUCUGAGGGUUCGUUUGGCUACAGUGCAAGUCGAUCAGGUGAUGCAUACUAACGGGGCGUGAUGCAACGAAAAAGGAUGCAGCCCCCUAACUUCACGACCACGAAUUUGAUCUACGAGAGAAAGAGGGGGAAAAUGUUUCAACGAUACGACGUUCAUAUGUGAUCAAUUUCUACGCAUGAGUUGUCAAAGCUUCGAGAUGUAAGCUACUGCCCACAUGUCUUCGUGCUCACCUAAGUUUUAAAGGGCAAGUUCUAUGAACAAGUAACAUUAUAAAGAUGAAAAAACAUGUUGAUAAUUUUCCGUUUUAAGUGAAAGUAAUGUUCUAUUUGUGAAUCUUUGGCAAAGAUGAUGCCAUACAUGUUCAGUGGUAUUUUUAGUUACUCUGCUUGUAUUUUUCUCUUUGAUAUUAGAACAUGAGGAUCUUGCAAUUAAAAUGGAUUAACACAGCUCUGCAAAUUGUAUUUAAAUGUACAGUAUGUAAAACCAAAACUAACGCCCAGUUGUUCAGCCACCACUCUGUGGGAACUCGUGAGCAAGAUUUAUUGUCCAUUUUAGGAAGGGAGAGGUGCGGCAUGGAAACUCACACUCUUUGAAGGCAAAGCACUAUGACAACCCAUACAUUGCAACUUCAAUUUUGAAUGUACUUCGAAUGGGGUGUAGAGGAAUAGUUGAUAAGGUUUGUGUUUUGGAGUAAGGCUUUUAUCAACUACUACAUUUCUCCUGGUGUUAACUCUUUCACAAGUGCUCUCCAUUUCCAUGAACCCAUCUGCUAUCAUGGUGUGAAAAUUGGAUCCAGUUCCCCAAACUUUGCCAUUAUGUCAAACUAAUGCUUUCUUUUUCAGCAGUUAUUGGAUUCCAGUGAAAAUUAUACUGCAUUUUGUCUAAAUGAGUGCUAAAUUAUGGCAAUAUCUUCUAAACGUUUGCUACUUUUUGAGUAAUUUUUUAAUUUGAAGUUUCAACUCUGAUCUGGAAUUGUAUUGACUCAAAAUUAGGUCAUCCCUACACAUAAGAUAGUGCAAAAGCUUUAUAAUGCAUGUGUGUGUGAAGGGUUUUCACGUGCUUGGAUUAGCCCUUCAAAGGUAAUUACUGGCAUUUGGUUACGGGUGAAACUCAACUGUGUGAGCUGGCAGGUAGUUUAUACUUGGUUUUACAGUUUUUCUACAGUGCUACCAAGAUUGGAGAGAUACAAUUCUGUAUGAUACUGGCCAUGUUAGAAAGUUGUUACAUAUGUGGAUUUUGUGAUUGGAUGCUUUUGAAAUUAUUAUUGUAUCUUAAAGUGAUGAAUGGACGAAUUUUUUUAAAACUUUUGUGAUGGCUAGAUUUGUAACCUUCUACUUCAAUUCUGUGCAACAUAAGGAGGGAGAUGUAGGAAGGGUAUAACUAAAAUUACUACAAAUGGUAAACUUAUAGAACUCUCAGUAUUACUGUUACUAUUCUAUGUAAUUGAGCAAUAGUUUUAUCGGAUGCUCAUUAAAUCUUUCAGCUCAAAUUGUUCCUUUUUUUCUGCACUGGUGGAUGUGAAGAUGAGUGAAUAAACAGUAAUCUUUAUGAG